rnacentral:rRNA from 1 species
GACGAACGCUGGCGGCGUGCUUAACACAUGCAAGUCGAACGGUAAGGCCCUUCGGGGUACACGAGCGGCGAACGGGUGAGUAACACGUGGGUGAUCUGCCCUGCACUUCGGGAUAAGCCUGGGAAACUGGGUCUAAUACCGGAUAGGACUCCUGGCUUCAUGGUUGGGGGUGGAAAGCUUUUGCGGUGUGGGAUGGGCCCGCGGCCUAUCAGCUUGUUGGUGGGGUAAUGGCCUACCAAGGCGACGACGGGUAGCCGGCCUGAGAGGGUGACCGGUCACACUGGGACUGUGGUACGGCCUAGACUCCUACGGGAGGCAGCAGUGGGGAAUAUUGCACAAUGGGCGCAAGCCUGAUGCAGCGACGCCGCGUGAGGGAUGACGGCCUUCGGGUUGUAAACCUCUUUCAGCUAUGACGAAGCGCAAGUGACGGUAGUAGCAGAAGAAGGACCGGCCAACUACGUGCCAGCCGCCGCAGUAA